GCUCCAUGGAAAUCUCAACUAUACUGCAAGAAUAAUUAUUCCUACUUAAUGAAGUUAUAGAAGAGAAUGUGGUGCUGGACGGUCACAAAAAAGGUGUCUCCGGAAUUGGUGGGUUCUUGGUCUCACUGACUUCAAGAAUGAAGCCGCGGACUCUUGCGAUACAGGGUCUCACUAUGUUACCCAGACUGGUCUCAAAUUCAUGAGCUCAAGCAACGCUCCCGCCUCGGCCUCCCAAAGUGUUGGGAUUAAGGUGA